UACGAAGGGGGCUAGCGUUGCUCGGAAUCACUGGGCGUAAAGCGCACGUAGGCGGAUCUUUAAGUCAGGGGUGAAAUCCUGGAGCUCAACUCCAGAACUGCCUUUGAUACUGGGGAUCUCGAGUCCGGAAGAGGUGAGUGGAACUCCGAGUGUAGAGGUGAAAUUCGUAGAUAUUCGGAAGAACACCGGUGGCGAAGGCGGCUCACUGGUCCGGUACUGACGCUGAGGUGCGAAAGCGUGGGGAGCAAACAGG
rnacentral:rRNA from 1 species